rnacentral:rRNA from 1 species
UACGAAGGGGGCUAGCGUUGUUCGGAAUUACUGGGCGUAAAGCGCACGUAGGCGGAUGUUUAAGUCGGGGGUGAAAUCCCAGGGCUCAACCCUGGAACUGCCUUCGAUACUGGACGUCUCGAGUCCGAGAGAGGUGAGUGGAAUUCCGAGUGUAGGGGUGAAAUUCGUAGAUAUUCGGAAGAACACCAGUGGCGAAGGCGGCUCACUGGCUCGGAACUGACGCUGAGGUGCGAAAGCGUGGGGAGCAAACAGG